CGACCGGCGCACGGGUGCGUAACACGUAUACAAUCUGCCUUCUACUGGGGAUAGCCUUUCGAAAGAGAGAUUAAUACCCCAUAUAAAUUGAAUAGCAUUAUUGAUUUUGAAAGAUCCGUCGGUAGAAGAUGAGUAUGCGUCUGAUUAGCUAGUUGGUGAGGUAAUGGCUCACCAAGGCUACGAUCAGUAGGGGAUCUGAGAGGAUACCCCCCACACUGGUACUGAGACACGGACCAGACUCCUACGGGAGGCAGCAGUAAGGAAUAUUGGACAAUGGAGGCAACUCUGAUCCAGCCAUGCCGCGUGCAGGAUGAAGGCCCUAUGGGUCGUAAACUGCUUUUGUACGAGAGAAAACCUAUUUACGUGUAGAUAGUUGAUAGUAUCGUAAGAAUAAGGAUCGGCUAACUUCGUG
rnacentral:rRNA from 1 species